rnacentral:misc_RNA from 1 species
GAUGAAGAACGCAGCGAAAUGCGAUAAGUAAUGUGAAUUGCAGAAUUCAGUGAAUCAUCGAAUCUUUGAACGCACAUUGCGCCCGCCAGUAUUCUGGCGGGCAUGCCUGUUCGAGCGUCAUUUCAACCAUCAAGCCCCAGGCUUGUGUUGGGGACCUGCGGCUGCCGCAGGCCCUGAAAACCAGUGGCGGGCUCGCUGUCACACCGGGCGUAGUAGAUUUUAUCUCGCUCAGGGCGUGCUGCGGGUCCCGGCCGUUAAAAGCCUUUUUUUACCCAAGGUUGACCUCGGAUCAGGUAGGAAGACCCGCUGAACUUAAGCAUACCAAUAAGCGGAGGA